UAACAUUCCAUCGAUAUAUUGAUGUAAAAGAAGGUUUGUCGGAAAAAGUGAAUGUCGCAUAAGCAUAAGGAAAUUUAUCAUCACAAAAGAUAGCACUGAUGUUACCAAAAAAAGAAGUAUUUUGGCUUGAAAAAAUUUCCAACGAAGUCGGAUUCGACGUGAAAUUGCUUUGAAGUAGAACUGUCUGCUGCUCGGAAUCCAAUACAAUAACAUAAAGAUCUCCUUGCCAAGAAGAAUAGCAAAUUUGUGAAUUAGAAUAGGAGGUGUCAAUUAAGGAAGACAAGCUGCCAUUAUUAGUUUGUUCAAAAAAUUGUGAACUUAAAUCAGUGUUCGCUGAACUGUUUGAUAAAACAUUAAAGCCAGAGAAAUCACCUAAGAAGGAAACAUCGGAUGCAACGACGGAUGUAAGAAAAUAACAAAAAAAACGAAAAGUGAAAUAAAGGCGUAUCCAAAAGGAGGAAUAAAUUGCCAUAAUAUACUAAAAACGUGAGACAAAAAGCCGCCGAUGCAUUAAGCCGUCAAACGGAGCCUAGUAAACCAGGACUUGAGUAAUGAAAAGAAAAAGGAUUUUAAAAUGUGACUUUUUAUGCUGUUUAAAUGAAUGAACGUACUGAAAACUCCUUUUUAACGAAAGUCGUUGCUGCAAAUGGUGUAGGAAGUAUGCAGAGGGUAACCCGAUCGCAAUGUAAAAGUAAAUC